CUUACCAUGGAGUGGAGCUGGAUCACUCUUUUCCUCAUGUCACUAACUACAGGUGUCCACUCCCAGCUGCAGCAGUCUGGGCCUGAGCUUGUGAGGCCUGGGACCUCAGUGAAACUGUCCUGCAGAGCCUCUGAUGAUAUCACUUAUUAUUAUAUUAACUGGGUGAAGCAGAGUCCAGGUCAGGGCCUGGAGUGGUUUGCGAGGAUUUAUCCUGGAGAUGGUAAUACUAAAUACAAUGAGAAAUUCCAGGGAAAGGCCACAGUGACUGCAGACACAUCCUCCAACACAGCCUACAUGGAGCUCAGAAGCCUGACAUCUGAAGACUCUGCGGUCUAUUAUUGUGCAAGACACAGUGCUGCAACCACAUCCUGA